rnacentral:rRNA from 1 species
UACGUAGGUGGCAAGCGUUGUCCGGAUUUAUUGGGUUUAAAGGGUGCGUAGGCGGCUUUGUAAGUCAGUGGUGAAAUAUGGCAGCUCAACUGUCAAGGUGCCAUUGAUACUGCGGAGCUUGAGUACAGAUGAGGUAGGCGGAAUUGACGGUGUAGCGGUGAAAUGCGUAGAUAUCGAGAGGAACACCUGCGGCGAAGGCGGGUUGCUGGGCUGACACUGACGCUGAGGCGCGAAAGCUAGGGGAGCGAACGGG